CUACCUGAAGCUGCUGCACUGAAAGAAGAAGAGCCUGGGGUCUUGGAACCAGAAGGCUGUGCCACUGACUGCUUAACUGCUCCCUGAACGAUGGCACUGGCCUCCAUUUUCCGGGCCAUAUCCACUAUGGCGUGGAAGCUCUCCCUAUCUGCUGACUGGAUCAAGGAGGAAUAUCUGGAGUGGAGUUUCAUGAUAUACCUCCUUGACCUUUUCUGGUCU
rnacentral:lncRNA from 1 species